UACGAAGGGGGCUAGCGUUGCUCGGAAUGACUGGGCGUAAAGGGCGCGUAGGCGGUUUGGACAGUCAGAUGUGAAAUUCCUGGGCUCAACCUGGGGACUGCAUUUGAGACGUUCAGACUAGAGUGCGGAAGAGGGUCGUGGAAUUUCCAGUGUAGAGGUGAAAUUCGUAGAUAUUGGAAAGAACACCGGUGGCGAAGGCGGCGACCUGGUCCGUGACUGACGCUGAGGCGCGAAAGCGUGGGGAGCAAACAGG
rnacentral:rRNA from 1 species